CUUAGAAGCCAGCCAACUCACAACAAUUGAGAAUGGCAUUCCAGGCAGAAGGAAGAGCAUGUCCAAAGAUUCAGAGACAAAAGAAAGCAGGACAGGAUCCAGGAAUGAAUUCAGGGGAAGAUGAAAAAAGUCUACAGACCACCUGAGAAAAGGCUCUGCAAAGUAAGCAGUGGUCACAUUAAUAUUUCAUCAGGAAGAAGACAGGAUCAGACGGUCUUUAAGAUCCCUCUCAGCUCAUGUAUCUUCCAACCAUUCUUCCCUUGUAAAACAUGGCAGAGAUUCUAGAUCCUUGGCUAAGA